rnacentral:lncRNA from 1 species
UUGUUACUUUGAAGCUGAAUGGUUGCAGAGAACUUGAGAGUCUUCCAAGCAGUAUUUCUCACAUGAAAUCUCUUCAAUACCUUGAUGUUUCUAGAUGCUCAAAGCUUGAGAAGUUUCCAGAAAUUUCAGAGGUUAUGAAGAAGCUAUCUGGGCUUUAUUUGGGUGGCACUACAAUUAAAGAGCUGCCUGCUUCUAUUUUAAAUCUCACCAGCCUUGUUACUUUGAAGCUAAAUGAUUGCAGAGAACUUGAGAUUCUUCCAAGCAGCAUUUCUUACAUGAAAUCUCUUCAACGCCUUGAUGUUUCUGGAUGCUCAAAGCUCAAGAAGUUUCCAGAAAUUUCGGAGGUUAUGAUGAAGCUAAUUGAGCUUUGUUUGGGUGGCACUGCAAUUAAAGAGCUGCCUGCUUCUAUUUUAAAUCUCACCAGCCUUGUUACUUUGAAGCUAAAUGAUUGCAGAGAAAUUGAGAGUCUUCCAAGCAGCAUUUCUCACAUGAAAUCUCUUGAAUACCUUGAUGUUUCUGGAUGCUCAAAGCUCGAGAAGUUUUCAGAAAUUUCAGAGGUUAUGAAGAAGCUAUCUGUGCUUUGUUUGGGUGGCACUGCAAUUAAGGAGCUGCCUGCUUCUAUUUUAAAUCUCACCAGUCUUGUUAC